rnacentral:rRNA from 1 species
ACGGAAGGCAGCAGUGGGGGAUAUUGCACAAUGGGCGCAAGCCUGAUGCAGCGAUGCCGCGUGAGGGAAGAAGGUUUUCGGAUUGUAAACCUCUGUCAACAGGGACGAAAAUGACGGUACCUGUGAAGGAAGCUCCGGCUAACUACGUGCCAGCAGCCGCGGUAAUACGUAGGGAGCAAGCGUUAUCCGGAAUUACUGGGUGUAAAGGGAGUGUAGGCGGGACUGUAAGUCAGAUGUGAAAUAUGCCGGCUCAACUGGCAGACUGCAUUUGAAACUGCGGUUCUUGAGUGAAGUAGAGGUAAACGGAAUUCCUGGUGUAGCGGUGAAAUGCGUAGAUAUCAGGAGGAACACCGGUGGCGAAGGCGGUUUACUGGACGACAACUGACGCUGAGACACGAAGGCGUGGGGAGCAAACAGGAUUAGAUACCCUGGUA